rnacentral:rRNA from 1 species
CCAUGGGGGAACCCUGAUGCAGCGACGCCGCGUGGAGGAAGAAGGUCUUCGCGNAUUGUAAACUCCUGUUGUUGAGGAAGAUAAUGACGGUACUCAACAAGGAAGUGACGGCUAACUACGUGCCAGCAGCCGCGGUAAAACGUAGGUCACAAGCGUUGUCCGGAAUUACUGGGUGUAAAGGGAGCGCAGGCGGGAAGACAAGUUGGAAGUGAAAUCUAUGGGCUCAACCCAUAAACUGCUUUCAAAACUGUUUUUCUUGAGUAGUGCAGAGGUAGGCGGAAUUCCCGGUGUAGCGGUGGAAUGCGUAGAUAUCGGGAGGAACACCAGUGGCGAAGGCGGCCUACUGGGCACCAACUGACGCUGAGGCUCGAAAGUGUGGGUAGCAAACAGGAUUAGAUACCCUGGUAGUCCAAGGGCGAAUUC